AAGGUUUGGUCCUAGCCUUGAAGUCAGUUAUUAUUUAAUAUACACAUGCAAGUUUCCGCACCCCUGUGAAAACGCCCUUAAAUUUCCCGCUAGAAAAUAGGAGCUGGUAUCAGGCACAAUCUUCCGCCCAUAACACCUAGCAUCGCCACACCCACAAGGGAUUUCAGCAGUGAUAAAUAUUGAGUAUAAGCGACAGCUUGACUCAGUUAAAUUAACUAGAGCCGGCUAAUUUGGUGCCAGCCGCCGCGGUUACACCACUAUGGCUCAAAUUGACUUCCAUCGGCGUAAAGCGUGAUUUAAGCACUUUGCACUUGGAACCAAAUUUAAAUUAAGCCGUGACACGCUUGUGACCAAGAAGAUCAUAGACGAAAGUUAUUCCAAUUAAACCAACUUGAAUUCACGACAACUAAGGAACAAACUGGGAUUAGAUACCCCACUAUGCUUAGUCGUAAACUUUAACUUACCCCCACCCUCGCCCGGGAACUACGAGCCAAGCUUAAAACCCAAAGGACUUGACGGUACCCCAUAUCCCCCUAGAGGAGCCUGUCCUAUAAUCGAUAACCCCCGUUCAACCUCACCAUUUUUAGUAACUCAGCCUGUAUACCUCCGUCGUCAGCUUACCACGUGAGCGUUAGUGAGCUUAAUGUUUUUACAACUAAACGUCAGGUCAAGGUGCAACAUAUAAGAUGGGAAGAGAUGGGCUACACUCUCUAACUUAGACAAUACGAAAGACUACCUAUGAAACCUAGUCAGAAGGCGGAUUUAGAAGUAAACUGGAACUAGAGUGUCCUUUUUAACCCGGCACUGGGGUGUGUACACACCGCCCGUCACCCUCCUCAUUGCUAUAAAACAGUUCUUAAACAUAUUUUUAGCCCCCUCAGAAGAGGCAAGUCGUAACAUGGUAAGUAUACCGGAAGGUGUGCUUGGAUU
rnacentral:ncRNA from 1 species